UACGGGGGGGGCAAGCGUUGUUCGGAAUUACUGGGCGUAAAGGGCUCGUAGGCGGCCAACUAAGUCGGACGUGAAAUCCCUCGGCUUAACCGGGGAACUGCGUCCGAUACUGGAUGGCUUGAGAUUGGGAGAGGGAUGCGGAAUUCCAGGUGUAGCGGUGAAAUGCGUAGAUAUCAUCAGGAACACCGGAGGCGAAGGCGGCUCACUGGGGGUCUUCUGACGCUGAGGAACGAAAGCCAGGGGAGCGAACGGG
rnacentral:rRNA from 1 species